rnacentral:misc_RNA from 1 species
GAUGAAGAACGCAGCGAAAUGCGAUACGUAGUGUGAAUUGCAGAAUCCCGUGAACCAUCGAGUCUUUGAACGCAAGUUGCGCCCGAAGCCAUCAGGUUGAGGGCACGUCUGCCUGGGCGUCACAUAUCGUUGCCCAAUGCCUAUUGCAGUGCAAUAGGAAUUUCUAGGGCGAAUGAUGGCUUCCCGUGAGCGUUGUUGCCUCGCGGUUGGUUGAAAAUCGAGUCCUUGGUAGGGUGUGCCAUGGUAGAUGGUGGUCGAGUUAGAACGAUACCGAUCAUGUGCAUGCUCCCCAAAAUAUGGCCUCUAUGACCCACACGCGUCUUUUGACGCUCAUGACGAGACCUCAGGUCAGGCGGGGCUACCCGCUGAAUUUAAGCAUAUCAAUAAGCGGAGGA